rnacentral:rRNA from 1 species
AACGAACGCUGGCGGCAUGCCUAACACAUGCAAGUCGAACGAGACCUUCGGGUCUAGUGGCGCACGGGUGCGUAACGCGUGGGAACCUGCCCUUAGGUUCGGAAUAACUCCCCGUAAGGGGUGCUAAUACCGGAUAAUGUCUUCGGUCCAAAGAUUUAUCGCCUUUGGAUGGGCCCGCGUUGGAUUAGCUAGUUGGUAGGGUAAAAGCCUACCAAGGCGACGAUCCAUAGCUGGUCUGAGAGGAUGAUCAGCCACACUGGGACUGAGACACGGCCCAGACUCCUACGGGAGGCAGCAGUGGGGAAUAUUGGACAAUGGGCGAAAGCCUGAUCCAGCAAUGCCGCGUGAGUGAUGAAGGCCUUAGGGUUGUAAAGCUCUUUUACCCGGGAUGAUAAUGACAGUACCGGGAGAAUAAGCUCCGGCUAACUCCGUG